rnacentral:rRNA from 1 species
AUUGAACGCUGGAGGCAGGCCUAACACAUGCAAGUAGAGCGGAGCGGCGGACGGGUGAGUAAUGCCUAGGAAUCUGCCUGGUAGUGGGGGAUAACGUCCGGAAACGUGCGCUAAAACCGCAUACUAUGAGAUGAGCCUCGGUCGGAUUAGCUAGUUGGUGGGGUAAAGGCCUACAAAGGCGACGAUCCGUAACUGGUCUGAGAGGAUGAUCAGUAACACUGGAACUGAGACACGGUCAAGAUGCCUACGGGAGGAAGUAGGGGGGAAUAUUGGACAAUGGGCGAAAGCCUGAUCCAGCAAUGCCGCGUGUGUGAAGAAGGUCUUCGGAUUGUAAAACACUUGAAGUUGGGAGGCGUUACAAACAGAAUAAGCACCGGCUAACUUCGUGCCAGCAGCCGCGGUAAUUC